UCCGUAGGUGGAUCAAUCAGUCAAAGGUGAAAUCCUGCAGCUUAACUGUAGAACUGCCUUUGAUACUGUUGAUCUUGAGUCAUUAUGAAGUGGUUAGAAUGUGUAGUGUAGCGGUGAAAUGCAUAGAUAUUACACAGAAUACCGAUUGCGAAGGCAGAUCACUAAUAAUGUACUGACACUGAGGGACGAAAGCGUGGGGAGCGAACAGGAUUAGAUACCCUGGUAGUCC
rnacentral:rRNA from 1 species